rnacentral:rRNA from 1 species
AUUGAACGCUGGCGGCAGGCCUAACACAUGCAAGUCGGACGGUAGCACAGAGGGGCUUGCUCCUCGGGUGACGAGUGGCGUACGGGUGAGUAAUGUCUGGGGAUCUGCCCGAUAGAGGGGGAUAACCACUGGAAACGGUUGCUAAUACCGCAUAACGUCGCAAGACCAAAGAGGGGGACCUUCGGGCCUCUCACUAUCGGAUGAACCCAGAUGGGAAUAGCUAGUAGGCGGGGUAACGGCCCACCUAGGCGACGAUCCCUAGCUGGUCUGAGAGGAUGACCAGCCACACUGGAACUGAGACACGGUCCAGACUCCUACGGGAGGCAGCAGUGGGGAAUAUUGCACAAUGGGCGCAAGCCUGAUGCAGCCAUGCCGCGUGUAUGAAGAAGGCCUUCGGGUUGUAAAGUACUUUCAGCGGGGAGGAAGGCGAUGUGGUUAAUAACCGCAUUGAUUGACGUUACCCGCAGAAGAAGCACCGGCUAACUCCGUGCCAGCCGCCGCAGUAA